rnacentral:rRNA from 1 species
UGUGCUUAGGCAAAUCCGGGCACACAUACACUGAGAGCUGACGACGAGUCCCCAAGGGGAUGAAGUGGUUGAUGCCAUGCUUCCAGGAAAAUCUUCUAAGCUUCAGGUUAGCAGGAAUCGUACCCCAAACCGACACAGGUGGUCGGGUAGAGAAUACCAAGGCGCUUGAGAGAACUCGGCUGAAGGAACUAGGCAAAAUGGUACCGUAACUUCGGGAGAAGGUACG